UACGUAGGCAGCGAGCGUUGUUCGGAGUUACUGGGCGUAAAGAGUGCGUAGGCGGUUUCUAAGUUUGGUGUGAAAUCUCCCGGCUUAACUGGGAGGGUGCGCCGAAAACUGGAAGGCUUGAGUAUGGGAGAGGUAAGCGGAAUUCCUGGUGUAGCGGUGAAAUGCGUAGAUAUACAGGAGGAACACCGGUGGCGAAGGCGGCUCUCUGGACCACAACUGACGCUGAGGCGCGAAAGCUAGGGGAGCAAACAGG
rnacentral:rRNA from 1 species